AUUCCAGCUCUAAUAGCGUAUAUUAAAGUUGUUGCAGUUAAAAAGCUCGUAGUCGGAUGUCGGGCUCGGGGAGGCUGUCGGCCUUUGGUCGGACGGCAUGUCCGGGCCUUUCUGCCUGGGGAUCCUAUUCUACUUAACUGUAGGGUAGUGGGACGCAGGCCGUUUACUUUGAAAAAAUUAGAGUGUUCGAAGCAGGCCUACGCUUGAAUACAUUAGCAUGGAAUAAUGGAAUAGGACUUUGGUCUUAUUUGUUGGUUUAUGGGACCGAAGUAAUGAUUAACAGGGACAGUUGGGGCCGUUUAUAUUUCGUUGUCAGAGGUGAAAUUCUUGGAUUUACGAGAGAUAAACUUCUGCGAAAGCAUUCGGCAAGGAUGUUUUCAUCA
rnacentral:rRNA from 1 species